rnacentral:rRNA from 1 species
CACGUAGGGCGCGAGCGUUGUCCGGAAUUAUUGGGCGUAAAGAGCUCGUAGGCGGCCUGUUGCGUCCGCUGUGAAAGCCCGGGGCUUAACCCCGGGUCGGCAGUGGAUACGGGCAGGCUAGAGGUAGGUAGGGGAGAUUGGAAUUCCUGGUGUAGCGGUGGAAUGCGCAGAUAUCAGGAGGAACACCGAUGGCGAAGGCAGAUCUCUGGGCCGUAACUGACGCUGAGGAGCGAAAGCGUGGGGAGCGAACAG